CUAGAUCUCACCGACCUGUUGAGAGGAAAGGAGCCAACCUGGCCUGGUGACCUUCUCUGUGCAAGCAGGGAGCAGGCACACACCACCAAUGAGUGAAGAAGGCUGCUGUGGCAUGCUCGGGACCUAGAGGGAACCUGCCUCAUUGACAGGGGACAGCAGCUGCACAGCUCCAGACAAUCGUUGUCAAGGACGGGAAUGAGAUUCUAACAUGGCUGAUCUGAUUUUUCAAGAAAGGUGAAAGACCCAAAUUCAUGGAAGAGAAGUGAGUCACACAGGGAGCCAGUGGCAGAGCCACACCCCACAGAGCAAUCAACAUGCUCUACUCUGCAGACCUGCAACAGGGAGGGAAGCCAGACUCUGAUGCAAGAAGGAAAGACCAUGUGCUGGCUCAGUGUGUGCAGCCUGGACUGAGCUACUGAACUCUAAAUCCAAGGAUGACUAAUGUAAGCCUAAAGGGUAAUCUGCAAAUACUGCUCCAUUAAUAUUCAAUGAUAAAUGAUAUUGCUUUAGAAUCAAAUUCACAUAAACAGAAGCUUCAGCUGUAUGUCCG
rnacentral:lncRNA from 1 species